rnacentral:rRNA from 1 species
UACAGAGGUCUCAAGCGUUGUUCGGAUUUAUUGGGCGUAAAGGGUGCGUAGGCGGCACGGUAAGUUAGGUGUGAAAUGCCAAGGCUUAACCUCGGCACUGCACUUAAUACUGCCAUGCUUGAGCGCUAACGAGGGGGCUGGAAUUUACGGUGUAGCAGUGAAAUGCGUAGAUAUCGUAAGGAAGACCAGUGGCGAAAGCGAGCCCCUAGAUAGCUGCUGACGCUGAGGCACGAAAGCUAGGGGAGCAAACGGG